GCCAUCGAAUGAGGCAAGACUACCCGCUGAAUUUAAGCAUA
rnacentral:rRNA from 2 species